GUGGCUGUGGCUCAGUUGGUAGAGUGCUGGCCUAGCAUAUACAGAGCCCUGGGUUCAAUCCCCAGCACCGCA
rnacentral:tRNA from 1 species